UACAGAGGGUGCAAGCGUUGUUCGGAAUCGAUUGGCGUAAGCGCGUGUAGGCGGUUCGGUAAGUCCGCUGUGAAAGUCGGGGGCUCAACCCUCGAAUGCCGGUGGAUACUGUCGGACUAGAGUACGGAAGAGGCGAGUGGAAUUCCUGGUGUAGCGGUGAAAUGCGCAGAUAUCAGGAGGAACACCAAUUGCGAAGGCAGCUCGCUGGGACGUUACUGACGCUGAGACGCGAAAGCGUGGGGAGCAAACAGG
rnacentral:rRNA from 1 species